GCCUAACCAAUGUGGAACAAAAUCAACCCCAUCUCCUGUGGUCAUUCAAUCAUCCGUACUCAACAUAUCAAACGAUUCCACCCAAGAUCAUAAUAAGUUUACAUAAUUUCUGAUUUUUAGUAAGUUAAAGAAAAUUAUUCCACGAACAAACAGAACAAUAACAGAAAAAAGAAUCGGAACAAAUAGAACAAUGGUUCGAGGAGAAUAAUAUUUUGGCUGUUACCCAGUGCCCAUCCACCGCAAACUUGAAGAGGGAAAUUGAGGAAAUCAGUACAUGCAACACCAGCAGAGGGAAUCGAGGGAGAUGACGGGUAUUGACCGUCGAAGCACAGUGAAGCCAUCAAAGAGCGCGACUCAGACUAAAUGCCAAUUGCCAUUGCUCCUCCGCCCUUAAGUGGAUCAGCUGUUCCGAUUAGCAGAUCUCAUUCAACUCUGGUCAACCUUCAUCUAAUCAUCUCCCUCUCUCAGUUGUUGUUCAUGGAAUCAUGGUGAAACGAGAGAAGAGUG
rnacentral:misc_RNA from 1 species